rnacentral:rRNA from 1 species
AAAACUUUCAACAACGGAUCUCUUGGUUCCGGCAUCGAUGAAGAACGCAGCGAAAUGCGAUAAGUAAUGUGAAUUGCAGAAUUCAGUGAAUCAUCGAAUUUUUGAACGCAUAUUGCGCCCCUUGGAAUUCCGACGGGCAUACCUGUUCGAGCGUCAUU